CCUACGGGAGGCAGCAGUGAGGAAUAUUGGACAAUGGAUGGAAAUCUGAUCCAGCCAUGCCGCGUGCAGGAAGACGGCCCUAUGGGUUGUAAACUGCUUUUGUAUGGGAGCAAUAAGGUCUAUGCGUAGACUGAUGAGAGUACCAUACGAAUAAGCAUCGGCUAACUCCGUGCCAGCAGCCGCGGUAAUACGGGGGAUGCAAGCGUUAUCCGGAUUUAUUGGGUUUAAAGGGUGCGUAGGCGGUUUGAUAAGUCAGCGGUGAAAUAUUUCAGCUUAACUGAAAGGGUGACGUUGAUACUGUCAGGCUUGAAUAUGGUUGCUGUGGGUGGAAUGUGUGGUGUAGCGGUGAGAUGCGUAGAGAUGUGGAGGAACACCAAUGGCGAAGGCAGCCCCCUGGGUCGAUACUGACGCUCAUGCACGAAAGCGUGGGGAGCAAACAGGAUUAGAUACCCUGGUAGUCCACACUGUAAACGAUGAUAACUCGCUGUCGGCGAUACACAGUCGGUAGCCAAGCGAAAGCGAUAAGUUAUCCACCUGGGGAGUACGACCGCAAGGUUGAAACUCAAAGGAAUUGACGGGGGCCCGCACAAGCGGAGGAACAUGUGGUUUAAUUCGAUGAUACGCGAGGAACCUUACCCGGGCUCGAACGGUGCAGGAAUACGUCAGAGAUGAUGUAGCUAGCAAUAGUCUGUAUCGAGGUGCUGCAUGGUUGUCGUCAGCUCGUGCCGUGAGGUGUCGGCUUAAGUGCCAUAACGAGCGCAACCCUUGUCGUUAGUUGCCAUCAGGUAAUGCUGGGAACUCUAGCGAGACUGCCACCGUAAGGUGUGAGGAAGGGGGGGAUGACGUCAAAUCAGCACGGCCCUUACGUCCGGGGCGACACACGUGUUACAAUGGUAGGUACAGAGGGCAGCUACCCGGCAAUGGGGUGCGAAUCUCAAAAGCCUAUCUCAGUUCGGAUCGGAGUCUGCAACUCGACUCCGUGAAGUUGGAUUCGCUAGUAAUCGCGCAUCAGCCAUGGCGCGG
rnacentral:rRNA from 1 species